CUGCUGCCUUCCGUAGGAGUCUGGUCCGUGUUUCAGUACCAGUGUGGGGGACCUUCCUCUCAGAACCCCUACGCAUCGUCGCCUCGGUGGGCCGUUACCCCGCCGACUAGCUAAUGCGCCGCAUGCCCAUCCGUAGCCGGAAUCGCUUCCUUUAAUCCCUCAGGGAUGCCCCCGAAAGAUAUUACGCGGUAUUAGACGGAAUUUCUUCCGCUUAUCCCCCUGCUACGGGCAGGUCGCAUACGUGUUACUCACCCGUGCGCCGGUCGCCGU
rnacentral:rRNA from 1 species